rnacentral:rRNA from 1 species
GAACGCUGGCGGCGUGCCUAAUACAUGCAAGUCGAGCGGAGAAAUGGGAGCUUGCUCCCAUUUCUCAGCGGCGGACGGGUGAGUAACACGUGGGCAACCUGCCCUGCAGACUGGGAUAACUCCGGGAAACCGGAGCUAAUACCGGGUAAUACAUAGCAUCGCAUGAUGCAACGUUGAAAGUUGGCCUUUGGCUAACACUGUAGGAUGGGCCCGCGGCGCAUUAGCUAGUUGGUAAGGUAACGGCUUACCAAGGCCACGAUGCGUAGCCGACCUGAGAGGGUGAUCGGCCACACUGGGACUGAGACACGGCCCAGACUCCUACGGGAGGCAGCAGUAGGGAAUCUUCCGCAAUGGACGAAAGUCUGACGGAGCAACGCCGCGUGAGUGACGAAGGCCUUCGGGUCGUAAAGCUCUGUUGUUAGGGAAGAACAAGUACCGUUCGAAUAGGGCGGUACCUUGACGGUACCUAACCAGAAAGCCACGGCUAACUACGUGCCAGCAGCCGCGGUAAUACGUAGGUGGCAAGCGUUGUCCGGAAUUAUUGGGCGUAAAGCGCGCGCAGGCGGUCUCUUAAGUCUGAUGUGAAAGCCCACGGCUCAACCGUGGAGGGCCAUUGGAAACUGGGGGACUUGAGUGCAGAAGAGGAGAGUGGAAUUCCACGUGUAGCGGUGAAAUGCGUAGAUAUGUGGAGGAACACCAGUGGCGAAGGCGGCUCUCUGGUCUGUAACUGACGCUGAGGCGCGAAAGCGUGGGGAGCGAACAGGAUUAGAUACCCUGGUAGUCCACGCCGUAAACGAUGAGUGCUAGGUGUUGGGGGGUUCCACCCUCAGUGCUGAAGUUAACACAUUAAGCACUCCGCCUU